CCGACAAACAAGCAGACAUUCUGAUUGGAUCCAUCUUCGUUAGCGGCAAGACUAAGUGGGAACUGCUCGACAAUAUAGUGAGGAGGAUAUUCAAGGUGCGCAGCAGCACUGUGUGGAUGCUCUUGCCUACGAGACGCUCAUCCCCAAGUCAAUAGCCCCGCAUAUGUCAGCGGCUGGCUGAGUACCUCGUGCUGCGGUCUGGUAAGGAGCCAUCGCCUGGAGCUGCUCCGCAUCCUCGACAACCUGCUGGGAGAGGUAAGUCACUUUUGUAUUCUCCUUGCCUUUCUCUCUGCCCCUCUCUACCCCUCUCGUUCUCUCUCU